ensembl:lncRNA
CAAAUGAGUAAGUUCUUUGCAUCAGGUGGCCAAAGUAUUAGAGUUUCACCUUCAGUAUCAGUCCUUCCAAUGAAUAUUCAGGACUGAUUUCCUUUAGGAUGGUCUGGUUGGAUCUCCUUGCAGUCCAAGGGACUCGCAAGAGUCUUCUCCAGCACCACAGUUCAAAAGCAUUAAUUCUUUGGUGCUCAGCUUUCUUUAUAGUCCAACUCUCACAUCCAUACAUGACCACUGGAAAAACCAUAGCUAUGACUAGACAUACCUUUGUUGGCAAAGUAAUGUCUCUGCUUUUUAAUAUGCUGUUUAGCUUGGUCAUAACUUUUCUUCCAAGGAGUAAGUGUCUUUUAAUUUCAUGGCUGCAAUCACCAUCUGCAGUGAUUUUGGAGCCCCCCCCAAAUAAAGUCAGUCACUGUUUCCCUUGUUUCCCCAUCUAUUUGCCAUGAAGUGAGGGGACCAGAAGUCGUGAUCUUAGUUUUCUGAAUGUUGAGUUUGAAGCCAACUUUUUCAGUCUCCUCUUUCACUUUCAUCGUAGGUUCUUUAGUUCUUCUUCGCUUUCUGCCAUAAGGGUGGUGUCAUCUGCAUAUCUGAGGUUAUUGAUGUUUCUCCCAGCAUCUUGAUUGCAGCUUGUGCUUCAUCCAGCCCAGAGUUUCUGAUGAUGUACUCAGGACAUAAGUGAAAGAAUGUACACACUUGACACACUCCUUUCCCUAUUUGGAGCCAGUCUGUUGUUCCAUGUCCAGUUCUCACUGUUGCUUCCUGACCUGCAUGCACAUUUCUCGGGAGGCAGAUCAGAUGGUCUGGUAUUCCCAUCUCUUUCAGAAUUUUCCUGAGUUUGUGGUGAUCCACACAGUCAAAGGCUUUGGCAUAGUCAAUAAAGCAGUCAAUAAAUAGAUGUUUUUCUGGAACUCUCCUGCUUUCUCGAUGAUCCAGCAGAUGUUGGCAAUUUGAUCUCUGGUUCUUUUGCCAUUUAUAAAACCAGCUUGAACAUCUGGAAGUUCAUGGUUCAUGUACUGUUGAAGCCUGGCUUGGAGAAUUUUAAGCAGUACUUUACUAGCAUGUGAGAUGAGUGCAAUUGUGUGGUAGUUUGAGCAUUCUUUGGCUUUGCCUUUCUUUGGGAUUGGAAUGAAAACUGACCUUUUCCAGUCCUGUGUCCCCUGCUAAGUUUUCCAAAUUUGCUGGCAUAUUGAGUGCAGCACUUUCACAGCAUCAUCUUUUGGGAUCUGAAAUAGCUCAACUGGAAUUCCAUCACCUCCACUAGCUAUGUUCAUAGUGAUGCUUCCUAAGGCCCACUUGACUUCACAUUCCAGGAUAUCUGGCUCUUGGUGAGUGAUCACACAAUCAUGGUUAUCUGGGUCGUGAAGAUCUUUUUUGUACAGUUCUUCUGUGUAUUCUUGCCACCUCUUCUUAAUAUCUUCUCCUUCUGUUAGGUCCAUACCAUUCUGUCCUUUAUUGUGCUCAUCUUUGCAUGAAAUAUUCCCUUAGUAUCUCUAAUUUUCUUGAAGAGAUCUCUAGUCUUUCCUAUUCUAUUGUUUUCCUCUAUUUCUUUGCAUUGAUCACUGAGGAAGGCUUCUUAUCUCUCCUUGCUAUUCUUUGGAACUCUGCAUUCAAAUGGGUAUAUCUUUCCUUUUCUCCUUUGCCUUUAGCUUCUCUUCUUUUCACAGCUAUUUGUAAGGCCUCCUCAGACAACCAUUUUGCCUUUUUGCAUUUUUUUCUUGAUGUUUAUCUUUACUCACUUACCUUGUGGUUUUCCUGGUUCUUGGUAUAAGAAGUGAUUUUCAGUUGUAUCCUGGACAGUUUAGAUAUCAUUUUCUUGAGAACUGAAUCCUUUUCAUCUUUGUGAGCUAAUCUCCCUGCUAAGGUGUAGCUUAAGGGAGGAUCAGAUGAGUGUCUGUGUCAGGUUUCCUAAAGGGUCUCUGCUGAUAUAGGAAGUAGAGGACUGGCUUACACGUUUCCUUGCAAGUGGAUGCUUCCCACUUGGUCCUACCGAUACCUUCCCAGUGAAAGUGGGACAUCAGUUGAUACCACCUCAUUGCCUCCAAGUGGUGUAGAACCAGGUCUUGCUGACAUCAAGGAUGGGGGUGCAGAGGGCUGAUUCACCUGCUUUGUGGCUACAGGGGAGGGAGGCAAUUCAACAAGUCGUCGUUGAGAAUGAGGGAGAGGAAGGGAGUUGAGUGCCAACUGACUGCAUCUCACAUCUCAUUGUUGCCACGUAGGCAUGGAGGUUCAGCCAUCUACUGGGCUCUAGUGACAUGAGUGAUGGGGAAAGCAAGUGUCGACUAGAUGUGCCUCACUGUUCAUUAAGUUUCAUUGCUGCCUAAUGGGGGUGGGAUGACUGCUCACUGCUGGACCUCACUGGAUGCUAUCCUGAUGGAAGAGUCAGGGUUACCAGAAUGGUGUAGGGUGGCAGAGCAGCUUUCCACUCAGCCCCCCACUAAACUGAGGGGUGGGAGAAAUGUAAUUUUUCUUUAGGAAUUUGCCUGGAGCAAGGCAGUGUUACCAAAAGGCUUUCUGUUGAUAGGCCACCUCUUUUCAAAUAUUUUGACUUGGGAAUAGGCUUUUCUUCAAGUAAUUUUUUUUUGUCCAUGCUAGUUGGUGAUUUCUGGUUUGAGGCUUCUGCCAUGUCUAGAAUAUAUGUUCUUGAAAUCUUAGUUUGAAGAGGGAGGAACUCUGCCUCUCUAAGAGGUGGAAAUGCUGCUGCUGCUGCUAAGUCACUUCAGUCAUGUCUGACUCUGUUUGACCCCACAGAUGGGAGCCCACCAGACUCCCCUGUCCCUGGGAUUCUCCAGGCAAGAACACUGGAGUGGGUCGCCAUUUCCUUCUCCAUUGCAUGACAGUGAAAAGUGAAAGUGAAGUCGCUCAGUCGUGUCUGACUCUUAGCGACCCCAUGGACUGCAGCCUACCAGGCUCCUCUGUCCAUAGGAUUUUCCAGGCAAGAGUACUGGAGUGGGGUGCCACUGCCUUCUGCAGAGGUGGAAAUGGGGCUACUCCAAUAUUGGAACUAAACGUCUCAGUAACUAUUUUUAAAUAAUUAAUUGCCAACAUCCACUGGAUCAUUGAAAAAGCAAGAAAGUUCUAGAAAAACAUCUAUUUUUGCUUUAUUGACUAUGCCAAAGCCUUUGACUGUAUGGAUCACAAUAAACUGUGGAAAAUUCUGAAAGAGAUGAGCAUACCAGGCCACCUGAACUCCUUCUUGAGAAACCUGUACGCAGGUCAGGAAGCAACAGUUAGAACUGGACAUGGAACAACAGACUGAUUCCAAAUAGGAAAAGGAGUACAUCAAGACUGUAUAUUGUCACCGUGCUUAUUUAACUUAUAUGCAGAGUACAUCAUGAGAAAUGCUGGGCUGGAAGAAGCAUAAGCUGGAAUCAAGAUUGCCAGGAGAAAUAUCAAUAACCUCAGAUAUGCAGAUAACACCACCCUUAUAGCAGAAAGUGAAGAAGAACUAAAGAAUCUAUGAUAAAAGUGGAAGAGGAGAGUGAAAAAGUUGGCUUAAAGCUCAACAUUCAGAAAACUAAGAUCAUAGCAUCCAAUCCCAUCACUUCAUGGCAAAUAGAUGGGCAAACAGUGGAAACAACGGCUGACUUUAUUUUUGUGGGCUCCAAAAUCACUGCAGAUGGUGAUUGCAGCCAUGAAAUUAAAAGACGCUUACUCCUUGGAAGGAAAGUUAUGAUGAAGCUAGACAGCAUAUUAAAAAGCAGAGACGUUACUUUGCUAACGAGGUGCAUCUAGUCAUAGCUAUGGUUUUCCAGUGGUCAUGUAUGGAUGUGAGAGUUGGACUGUGAAGAAGGCUGAGCGCCGAAGAAUUGAUGUUUUUGAUCUGUGGUGUUGGAGAAGACUCUUGAGAGUCCCUUGGACUGCAAGGAGAUCCAACCAGUCCAUCCUAAAGGAGAUCAGUCCUGGGUGUUCAUUGGAAGGACUGAUGUUGAAGCUGAAACUCCAAUACUUUGGCCACCUGAUGCGAAGAGCUGACUCAUUUGAAAAGACGCUGAUGCUGGGAAAGACUGAGGGCAGGAGGAGAAGGGGACAACAGAGGAUGAGAUGGGUGGGUGGCAUCACUGACUCGAUGGACAUGGAUUUGUGUGGACUCCAGUAGUUGGUGAUGGAUAGGGAGGCCUGGUAUGCUGCGGUUCAUGAGGUUGCAAAGAGUCAGACACUACUAAGCGACUGAACUGAACUGAACUGACAUGCUAUUUGGUAAGAAUAUUUCCACGGACCUUGUCGUUCGAGUGGGCUUCCCUGGUGGCUCAGAGGUUAUUGUGUGUGUGCGUGUAUGGUUGCAUGUACAAAGACAAACUUGAAUGGUUUAAAUUUUUCUUUCUCUAAUACCCAUUUAACAUAUUUUGCCUUCCUUUCUUACACACGUGUAUACACACACACACACACACACACACACUUCUUUUGUGUUGUUGAUCUACCCUGCAAGCUUACUUGCACUAUUCUAUUAUGCCCACUACAGUUUAUUUCAAAUCUUGCCCAGUAAUUCCUUGCCUUAGGGUGGAUGUAAAAAAUCAAGAGCAUUAACUUUUUUGUUUUUCCCUGAAAAUAUCUUUAUUGUCUGCCUUUGGUUCACAGCUUGGGAGAAGGCUCCAAGGCUUCCUUGACGUCUCAGACAGUGAAAAAUUUGCCCGGAAAAUGGGAGACUGGGGUUCGGUCCAUGGGUUGAGAAGAUUCCCCUGGAGAAGAAAAUGGCAGCUCACUCCAGUAUUCUUGCCUGGAGAAUCCCAUGGACAGAGGAGCCUGGCGAGCUAUAGUCCAUGGGGUUGCAGUCAGAUACGACUGAGCUACUAACACUUUCUUCACUUGGGAGAAGGCCCCAGGGUGGUUAAAAACUGCCUAGUGUCUGCAAAGGGAGGCUGCUGACAGAAGCCCUGACACCAAGGGGAUGUCAAAGGGGCCUCUCAAGGCCCGCUGGGCCGUGGGGGCUUCUGUACGUGCCUGCUGCUGCUGCUGCUAAGUUGCUUCAGUCGUGUCCGACUCUGUGAGACCCCAUAGACAGCAGCCCACCAGGAUCCCCCGUCCCGGGAUUCUCCAGGCAAGAACACUGGGGUGGGUUGCCGUUUCCUUCUCCAAUGCAUGAAAGUAAAAAGUGAAAGCGAAGUCGCUCAGUCGUCCCAACUCUUAGCGACCCCAUGGACUGUAGCCUACCACGCUCCUCCUCCUCUGUCCAUUGGAUUUUCCAGGCAAGAGUAUUGGAAUGGGUUGCCAUUUCCUUCUCCAGUACGUGCUUGAGGCUGAGCGUAUUGAGCAGAUAGAUACCCAGCCCGUGGGCUGCCAGCUGAUGGAAAUUAGUCACAUGGUUGCAAUCUUGGUGAGUUUCACCUCUCAACCCGGAAGUCCUUCAUCCCGGAAGUUAGCUAGGGGCCGCCUGAACCUGGGGCGUUCGGAUCCAAUAGGGCCUUGUUCAGGUUCUCCAUAACGACAGUAGGUUCCAUAGCGUCAAAGGUUUUGCCCCACUUGUCUUGGAACGGCUUCCCUAUGGCAAGUUCUGGAAGAGGGCUCAGCUGCAGUCGUUUGUGUGUUAAAGAGAGGCUUGGCGUUCUCACUUUUCUCCUCGGCCAGCUCAACGAAGUGGCCCAUAUCUUCCCGAGUCACGUGGUCGUAGUCAAAAUAGAAGCCCAGCGAGAGGUAAGUGGAAGGGGGCCUGCAGAGUCUUGUGGACCAGGCAGUUGCCUGAGUCCUCCACUUCGGUGGAAUAAUUCUGGGAAUAUCUGGGAAGGCCGCGGUUGAGUGAGGAUACGAAACUCAGCGUAGGUUCCAAGGUUGCAUUUGGAAAGGGGGUUGGAGUGGAGUCCGAGGCCAGGAGCCAGGGCGGCGCUGGGUCUCUUCCGUGUAAACACUGUUGAAACCACAGACUGAACUGGUGGGCCACCUGGCUGCAGUGCCAAGAGUAUUAACUUUUUUUAAAGCUUUUACUUUAUUUAUUUACUGUUUUUAUUUUUGGCUGAGCUUGGUCUUCAUUGUCGUGCACUGGAUUUCUCUAGUUUCAGAGAGUAGCAGGGGUGCAGGGCGGGCUACUCUCGAGUUGCUGAACUCGGGCUUCUGGUUGCAGUGGUUUCCCUCCUGCAGAGCACAGGCUCUAGGGUGCUCAGGCUUCGGUAGUUGCAGUGCAUGGACUCAGUAGUUGCAGCCGGCACGCUCUAGAGCACAGGUGCAGUAGUUGUGGCAUAAGGGCCUAGCUGCAGCAAGGAAUGUGGGGUCUUCCCAGACCUGGGAAGGAGCCGGUGUCCCUUGCAUUGCACGGUGGAUUCUUAACCACUGGACCACCAGGGAAGCCCGGCAGUAUUAACUUUUUAACUCAGAUCCCCAAUUUCCUGUGGUAUUGAAAUUUUGGCUUAGCGGCCUUGCAUGGAGAAUUUCUUGAGUUCAGGUCUUUGACUACUCAGCUUUUUAUCUGUAGCAUCUAGGUUCAGUUCGUGGCACCUCCCAGGUUCUCAGUGACUAUUUGUUGGCAUAAAAUGUCCAUAUAAGCAUUUUUUCCCCCAGUACCCUUGCCUCUGAUUGGAAAUCCUUUCUUUGCAAAUCCUCAGAUGCAGCUUGUUAAUUUACAUGAAAGAGAAAGGCAUGGCCUACCUGAUGUUGGACCGUCUCACUAUGGCAGUUCAGUGCUUCAGUUGUCUGUUGCUGUGUAAUACACUGCCUCAAAGCUUGGUGGCUUAAAACAACAAUGAUUUUGCAGUUUGGAUAGGAUUUGGUAGAGCUCAGCUCUGUUCCAUGUGUCGCCAGCUGGGGUGUUUUAACUGGGGUUGGAGGAUAUACUUUCAAGAUGGUGCACUCGGCUAACUGGCAAGUUGGUACUGGCUAUUGACUGGGGGGAGCUCAAGUGAAGACUGCCAACCAGAGGUUUGGCUUAUAUUUCACAAGAGCUGUUUGGGCUUUCUUACAACAGUGGCUAGAUUUCAAGAUGUAGAAACUACCCCGCAUUCUUAAUAGCUUGCUUUGAAUACUCAUAAUAUUUCUUUCUCUGCCUUUUAUUGGCCAAAUUAGUCUUAGACUCAGCAGAUUCGAAGGGAAAGAAGGUAAGUGCCACCUGUUUAUGGGAGAAACACCAUGUACAUAUACGGAGGGGCAGAAAUUAGAGACUCACUUUGGAGAAUAAUUUUCUGCCAUAAAAUUUCUUUAUGAAAUAGGAAAUUGAGGGCGAAAAAUAACACAUGCAUCACAGAAUUGGUAUAAAAAUCAUAUUCCUGGCACAUAACAAACAGUUGAUACAUUUUUUGAAAGAUUUUUUUGAUGUGGACCGUUUUUAAAGUCUUUAAAAUUGUUGCAAUAUUACUUCUGUUCUGUUUUGGGGUUUUUUUGGCCACGAGGCAUGUGGGAUCUUAGUUGCAUGACCAGGGAUCAAACACACAGCCCAUGCAUUGAGAGAUGAAGUCUUAACCACUGGACUGCCAGGGAAGUCCCACUACAUUUUAACUAAUUUAACUAAUUUUCAUUGCUAUGAGAAAAUGAAAAAUUCCUGCAAAACACCAAGUUGGAGAAGAACAUAAUUUUUCCUCCAUGGAAAUUAUAUUUUCUCAUAAUUCCAGUUAGAUGAUUUUACUGGUUAGUAUUUCCUUUGAUAUCUUUAAUUGCCAUAUUCUCUUUGCUUCUACUUAACUGACAAUUUUUCUUUUUUAAAGAUCUCAAACCAGCAGUCCUUAAAUGAAAGGACUAACCCACAGUUUUGAGGGGUAAUGACUUUUGGUGUCUCUGUUGUAAUCCUUUUUCUUUUUAUACUUUGUUGCAGGUUUUUUUUUUCUUCUUGAUAUCACUUUUCAGUCCCGCCACAUUACGCUUUGAAAAAGCAGCUCUCUGUAGAGAUACAAUGAAUGAUAUUGGAAUGACAUGCCCUGGAAGCUGCUCCUGGUUCUCUCUUUGGAAACUCCUGUGCAGUUAGUCCUCUAGGAAGUUUACAGGUCAGCAGAGGUCAUCAGCCAGAUAAAUCUGAAGAAUAACCAGUGGAGCUAGAUAAAUUCAAGUCAGAAACCACAACAACUUACAAAAAUCACUACAUAUGUCAUAAAGAAGGUCAAAUCAGAAGGCCGAGAGCAUUUAAAGGAGGAAGAGAUUAUGUCCGGCUGGAGGAUCAACCCCCUCCCAAUUUUAGGCUCCACUCUGAGCCACAUUAAGCUCAUGUAUCUGAGUAUCAUAUGGAAUCUGGAAAGGACUUGGAAACAGCUUACCUAAGUUAAUUGAGUUGCUGAAAUUUUAUAAUAUUACCAUUGGAAUAUUGGAAUUGUGCACCUGGAAGGAAUGUCUAGAAGAACUUCUCUUAUAGGACUCCUUUCUGUAAGAGAGAAAUAUGGAAAGGCCUUGAGUGAGUACAAUGUACAGUUUCUUCAGGGGAACUUCAAAGGUGAGUCAUUUGAAUGAAAUGAGUUUGCGCUUCCUCAGCUGGUAUUCGCCCUACAUUGCGUUGUGUCUAGUAUUUCAUAUUUCCUCACUGCAGAUAGUGUCACCUGGGGAUUACCUGAUGUAUUUUAGGGAGUUUGUAACUGUUUCUCUGGUAAUCCAAUCCUUUCUGUUUUCUCUAGACAGUCUUCAAAAUUUCUGGUUCAUGGAUGUCACUUCGCUCUUACGAACGGGGUUUCUGUUCCUUGAACGGACCAAGCUCAGACCACUCUAGACAUUUGAACUACUUCCUCUAUGGGGAAUAUUCUAAGAUUUUUGGAAGUCUGUAUCUUUGGAUCAUUCAAGUCUCAGGUCACAUAUUUGUUGUUGUUGUUUAGUCUCUAAGUCGUGUCCAGCUCCUGGCAACCCCAUGGUCUGUAGCCCCAAGGCUCCUCUGUGCAUGGGAUUUCCCAGGCAGGAAUACUGGAGCGGGUUGCCAUUUCCUUCUCUAAGGGAUCUUCCCAACCCAGGGAUGGAACCUGCAUCUCCAUUGGCAGGCCGAUUCUUUACCACUAAGCCACAUAUGCCUCCUCCAAAAGGACUGAAGGUGGGAAGAGAAGGGGCCGACAGAAGAUGAGAUGGUUGGAUGGCGUCACAGACUCGAUGGACGUGAGUUUGAGUAAGCUCCAGGAGUUGGUGUUGGACAGGGAAGCCUGGGAUGGUGCAGUCCAUGGGGUCGCACAGAGUCAGACAAGACUGAGUGACUGAACUGAACUGAACAGGAUUUCCUGCAUGCUAUAGGGGAAACAGUUCCCCAAACCCCUCCUACCAGUCACUCUCAACUACAGUUAUUCUGUUUAACUACUUUCAUAGUAUAGACCUUGGGCUACAGUUACGCUGUUUAUUGUAUUUUUUCUCUUGCCCUCCCCACCUUGACCUGUAAGCUCCCUGAGAUCAGGAACCUUGCUUAACCUCUUCACCACAGUAGCACCUAGAGCAUAGCCAGAGAGCAAUAGUGAUUUGUCAGAUGAAUGAAGGAUUAAUUCUUAUGAAAAUUUUUUCAGUCACUUCAAAGUGUUUUUGAUAUUGAGAGGUAAACUUGUAAGCUUAGUCUAUCAAAUUGAUUUGAUUUGGUGUACAAUGGAUUACUAUUCAGUCAUGAGAAAGAAGGAUGUUAUGCUAUUUGUGAUAACAUGGAUGGUCCUUGUGGGAAUUAUGCUAAGUGAAAUAAGACAGAGAAAGAAAUAUUGUGUUAUAUAACUUAUAUGUAGGAUCUGAAAAAGCCAAACUCAUAGAAACAGAGGCUAGAAUGGUGGUUACCAGUGGCUAGGGCUGGGGGAAAGAUCUGGAAAUGUUGGUUGACAUGUAUACAUUUCCAGUUAUAAAAUGAGUAAGGUAUGGAAUCUAAUGUACGGUGUCAUGAUGAUAGUUAAUGCCUUAUUAUAUACCUAUAUAAAGUUGCUAGGACAGUAGAUCCUAAUUAGAUGAUAUAGUACAGAUGUUAGCUAAAGCAGUGGUGGUUAAUUAAUUUGCAGUCAAAAUAAAAACUUAAUACAUUGUACACCUUAAAUGUACACACUGCUCUAUAUGUUGAUUUCAUUCAAUAAAUCUGGAAAAUAUGUAGGAUCUUGGUGAUACUGGUGGUCACUUUGUCAUAUUGGUAUAGAUGUUACAGAGAAUACUAUUGUUCCAAAUGGUUGGUAUAGAACAUCUGAACAUACCUGGAACUUUUGAUAAUACCUAAUGGAUUAUACCAUAUAAAAAGACGCCUAAAGCCCAGAAGAACAAAAGACACACAGUUCUGGAAAGGAAACAUCGUCUAACUUGCAUAUUAUCAUCUCAUUCCUUUUGUAAAAUGACCCUGCUCUCCAGUCACUGGAUGUGGGAUAGUAUGGUAAUGCGGUCUGCUGCUGGAGGUUUCCAUGUGAGUAUGUUCCAAGUGUGACAAGGGUUUGCUUUUUCUUUUUCUUUUUUUGUCUUUAAAAGCAAAGAUUGAAAGUGGGAGGAGAAGGGGGCGACAGAGAAUGAGAUGGUUGGAUGGCAUCACUGACUCAAUGGACAUGAGUUUGAGUAAAACUCCAGGAGUUGGUGAUGGACAGGGAGGCCUGGCGUGCUGCAGCCCAUGGGGUCGGAAAGAGCCGUACGGGACUGAGCAACUGAACUGAACUUUUUCCUAAGACUUUAUGAGCCUGACAGGACUCUGCCCUUAACUUGGUCCCCAGAGGUCAGGGCAGUAUUUUGUUUUGUUUUUUGGUAGUGGACCGGGGAAGGUUCUUUUAACAUUUAAUCCUCAGAACAAACACUGACCUGGUAAGUACUAUUAACACUUAUUUUCACAUUAAGCAAGCAGACUCAGGCUAUGCAACUUGGCCAACUUCUUGCCACUGGUAAGUGCAAGAACCAGUAUUGAACCUGUUUUCAGGAACCAAAGAGAGGUUCGAUGUGACCUGUCAGUACUCAGCAGUGUCCCUUAGAGUGGAGAUGAGUUCAUGAUGUCUAAUCUGUUAUUGAUUGACUUAAAAUUGGUGGAAAGCUAUUUCAGAUACAGAACCAAAAUCUGUUUCUCUUUAUGUCUAUAUAAAAUUGACCUGUGGGAGCAGAACUGAAUGUCCACCUUUCCUUUUCCUGACAGUCAAUCACUUUCAAAUCCUUGAGUAAAAGUACCCACUAUGGCAGUUAGGGAUGGAUUCAUACAGAGAUGGCUGGCACCUAAAGAAAAUUCGUGGCAUUUGGAUUUGUGCAAAUGAGAGAAAUACACCUUUUAGGUAAUCAGAUGUGAUGAUGAUAGAAUGAUUCACUGAGUGCCUGUUGUGUCCAGCACUGUGCUAGUCUCUCUAGAUGCACUGUCUCAGCCUUGAGUAAUUCUCAUGAUGACUGUGCGCUAGGGGAAUGGUGCUUCAUUUUAUAGAUGUAAAAAGACACUCAAGAGAUGUGAAGUGAUCCAGUUCACUCAGGUAUUAAGUGACAUGAGAUUUGAAGCCAGACUUACGUGAUUCCAAAGCAUGUUUUCUGCACUAGCCUAGGCUUCAUCUUGGUUGCAUAAAUUAUAACAAUAUAAUCUGUUGAUCAGUCUGAAUUCAGUGGCGUAUAAACCAAAAGGCCUUACUGUUUUCUAGUCACUAUCUUAAAUAGGCAGUGCAUAUAUACUCGAUUUUUGUCCUCUAUUAACCUUUUAAGAAGAUUCCAUUGCAUCUUGGGCCUUUUUACGACAAAACCCAGCUAGUUUAAAUCUAAAAGUUGUCUCAUUUGUUUCCCUCCCUUCAUCUUAGACCCAGAAGCCUAAGCCCAUGUGACUGUAGUGAAGAAGAGCAUGUUCUGUUUAUUUAAUCUUUUUUCCCCUUUUCACAGGCAUUUAAGGCAGUGAAGAGGGAAAUAGUGAAGGUCAAGUGACUCUUAACUGAUGUUCUUUUCUGACUGUUCCUAGUUCUUCAGGUAACUGAUCUGCUACUGAUGCGGUCUAUAAGGCAAGUGUUUUACCUGUGGGCUUGGUUUAGGAAAACGUAGGAGAAAGGGAAGGCAGAUUAAGGUUUGGAUGCCAGGAAAGAUGACAUUUAUGGUAGGGGGAAAACUGGAAGAAAGAGAGCUAGUUCAGGAUAGAUAUAAUCCAACAGACAUGACAGAAACUCUUACAUGAUGAUUUAAAAUGGAAAGACAACUUUCGCUCUGUGGAGCUGAUGUGUUCCAGCUAUUGAUUCUAAAAUGAACUCAAUUUUCCUUCUUAACUGCUAUGAUAGAAUCAAGGAUGUAUCCCCACAAGGGAAAAAGAAAAUCCUCAAAAGACUCAAUUAAAACUUUAGGUGAAGAUGUAGUUGAGAGGGUGGCCAGCGCCCCGGGUCCUGUGGGAUUGUUGUCCGCUUUGUGGCUCACUUCCCUUUGCUGUGAUUUACAGACUCCUGGGUCUCCCCGAGGCCCUCGGGCCCACCCUUGCUUCCUUUGGGAUAGGAUGGUCGUGCAUGUCUCCUGUCAGAGAAGUGAAUAUUCAGUCCUGAAACCCUGGGAGUUCUCUUCUGGUUGGCUAUGCAUCUUUGCAUUCAGGUUUUAUGCCUUUGCUCCACUGCCACUUCUCACCUUUAGAACAUUUCUACAAGUAAAACCCACAUCAGAGCAUCCAUGUGGGAUAAUUCUGACCAUAUCUCUAUCCCUUUACAUGAACAAAAAUCCUCCCCAAAAUUGUCUGUAGACAUAUAUGGCAUCUUACAUUUUAUCAAACACUUAGCUGCUGUAUCAUUUUGGCAUUCUCUGUGUCUAUAUAAAACACUCUGUUGGUCUAUAAAGAGAAGGCUGUCUUUGGAACCAGUUCGCAGAAAACUCAAUCAGGCAAAUGCCAAAUUAUGUCCCUAACUCUGUCCCCUGGGUGAUUGGAUCUUGGGCACCAUGAGAGUUACUGAGGUUCGGAAGGAGAACAUACCCAGCAGAAACCAGGAGAACAGAGAACUUGGAGACACCGUGGGAGAGAGAAGAGGCAUAAGGAGAGAGAAAGGGUACUAGCAAAGAUGGGGUUGCUCUAGAAAUACUCUUGCACUGGCUUCUGUGCAGGAAACCUGUAAUACCAAUCCCGUUGAAAAGACUGGGUCAAUAGAGUCACCUCCUGAACUCUCAGUUUAUAGCACUGUCACUUUCUCUAACUUUAUUACAGCUGAAGGAAGGAGUCCUGUUGAUACAAAACAUGAUUACAGCUCUUUUGGAAAAGAAGAAAAAGAUUUUCACCAACACUUCCCAUUUAUUGUCACUACCAUUUUUUCCCCUGUCCUGCUCUCUCAUUCUUGGCCCACAUAGGAAAUCAGAAGUGAAGAACUGUACAACUGGACAAAAUGUAUGAAGAAAUUGUUUGCAGACACGGGACAACAGAAAGCACAGAACUGUCUGGGGUUGGAGCUAACUUUUCCCAGCUAUGAAGAAGCCCAGAAAUACCCAGUUUGUCAUCUUGGAUAAACCCUCCACAGCCAAAGAUGGAGAAGCUCUAUACAGUCAGCAAAAACAAGACUGGGAGCAGAAUGUGGCUCAGAUCAUGAGCUCCUUAUUGCCAAAUUCAGACUUGAAUAGAAGAAAGUGGGGAAAACCACUACACCAUUCAGGUAUGACCUAAAUCAAAUCCUUUAUGACUAUACACUGGAAGUGAGAAAUAGAUUUAAGGCACUAGAUCUGAUAGAGUGCCUGAUGAACUAUGGACAGAGGUUCAUGACAUUGUACAGGAGACAGGAAUCAAGACCAUCCCCAAGAACAAGAAAUACAAAAAAGCAAAAUGGCUGUCUGAGGAGGCCUUACAAAUAGCUAUGAAAAGAAGAGAAGUGAAAAGCAAAGGAGAAAAGGAAAGAUAUAAGCAUCUGAAUGCAGAGUUCCAAAGAAUAGCAAGGAGAGAUAAGAAAGCCUUCCUCAGCAAUCAAUGCAAAAAGAAAAAAACAAUAGGAUGGGAAAGACUAGAGACUUUUUCAAGAAAAUUAGAGAUACCAAGGGUACAUGUCAUGUGAAGAUGGGUACAAUAAAGGACAGAAACGGUAUGGAUCUAACAGAAGCAGAAGAUAUUAAGAAGAGGUCGCAAGAAUACACAGAAGAACUGUACAAAAAAGAUCUUCAUGACCCAGGUAAUCAUGAUGGUGUGAUCACCCACACUCACCUACAGCCAGACAUCCUGGAAUGUGAAGUCAAGUGGGCCUUAGGAGGCAUCACUAUGAGCAAAGCUGGUGGAGGUGACAGAAUUCCAGUUGAGCUAUUUCAAAUCCUGAAAGAUGAUGCUGUGAAAGUGCUGCACUCAAUAUGUCAGCAAAUUUGGAAAACUCAGCAGUGGCCACAGGACGGGAAAAGGUCAGUUUUCAUUUCAGUCCCUAAGAAAGGCAAUGCCAAAGAAUGCUCAACCUACCAGACAAUCGCACUCACUUCACACGCUAGUAAAGUAAUGCUUAAAAUUCUCCAGGCCAGGCUUCAGCAAUAUGUGAACUGUGAACUUCCAGAUGUUCAAGCUGCUUUUAGAAAAGGCAGAGGAACCAGAGAUCAAAUUGCCAACAUCCACUGGAUCAUGGAAAAAGCAAGAGAGUUCCAGAAGAACAUCUAUUUCUGCUUGAUUGACUAUGCCAAAGCCUUUGUGUGGGUCACAAUAAACUGUGGAAAAUUCUGAAAGAGAUGGGAAUACCAGACCACCUGAUCUGCCUCUUGAGAAACCUGUAUGCAGGUCAGGAAGCAACAGUUAGAACUGAACAUGGAACAACAGACUGGUUCCAAAUAGGAGAAGGAGUACAUCAAGGCUGUAGAUGGUCACCCUGCUUAUUUAACUUAAAUGCAGAGGACAUCAUGAGAAACACUGGGCUGGAGGAAGCACAAGCUGCAAUCAAGGUUGCCGGGAGAAAUAUCGAUAACCUCAGAUAUGCAGAUGACACCACCCUUAUGGAAGAAGAACUAAAGAGCCUCUUGAUGAAAAUGAAAGAGGAGAGAGAAAAAGUUGGUUUAAAGCUCAACAUUCAGAAAACUAAGAUCAUGGCAUCAGGUCCCAUCACUUCAUGGCAAAUAGAUGAGGAAACAGUGGCAGACUUUAUUUUUCUGGGCUCCCAAAUCACUGCAGAUGGUGACUGCAGCCAUGAAAUUAAAAGACACUUACUCCUUGGAAAGAAAGUUAUGACGAAGCUAGACAGCAUAUUAAAAAGCAGAGACAUUACUUUGCCAACAGAGGUCUGUCUAGUCAAGGCUAUGGUUUUUCCAGUGGUCAUGUAUGGAUGUGAGAGUGGGACUAUAAAGAAAGCUGAGCACUGAAGUAUUGAUGCUUUUGAACUGUGGUGUUGGAGAAGACUCUUGAGAGUCCCUUGGGCUGCAAGGAGAUCCAACCAGUCUAUCCUAAAGGAGAUCAGUCCUAGGUGUUCAUUGGAAGGACUGAUGUUGAAGCUGAAACUCCAAUACUUUGGCCACCUGAUUCGAAGAGCUGACUCAUUUGAAAAGCCUCUAAUUCUGGGAAAGAUUGAGGGCAAAAGGAGAAGAGGACGACAGAGGAUGAGAUGGUUGGAUGGCAUCACCGAUUCAAUGGACAGAGGUUUGGGUGGACUCUGGCAGUUGUUGACGGACAGGGAGGCCUCACAUGCUGCGAUUGCUGUGGUCACAUAGAGUCGGACACAACUGAAUGACUGAACUGAACUGAUAUGUGUUGGAUCAAAAAUCGUGAUAUCUUGAGGCAUAUCUGAAAAUUAAGAAUCAGUAGAAAGAAGUAGGAGCGCGCCUUUUACCAUCAAUCUCAGAGACUCAGUGGGAAAAAUACACUUCCAUGCCUACAAAUUUGGCUCUUCUAGAUCAGCAGUCCUUAUUGCAAGCAAAAGAUGUUAAGGGACUUUUUAUCAGGGAACCGAGUAAGGGUUCCACUAAUAUUAAAAGUUAUGACUACCACAUGAUCAUUC